GGGCCCAUAGCUCAGGGGUUAGAGCAGUUCGCUCAUAACGAAUUGGUCCCUGGUUCAAAUCCAGGUGGGCCCACCA
rnacentral:tRNA from 1 species